AUCGCUUCUUGGCCUUUUGGCUAAGAUCAAGUGUAAAUCACACACAUAUAUCCAAUGUUAAAUAACUACAUCUUGUUGCAAAUGGUUUUGGAAAAGGUGUAACUUAAGUUUUUGAAGGGACAAAUAAUUUAUUUUGUUC
ensembl:snRNA U2 U2 spliceosomal RNA